rnacentral:lncRNA from 1 species
AUGAAAUCAUUCACUAGAUAUCCACCAAGUAUAUGCUUAAUAAUUUAUUCUAGAACAUUUCUAAGAAUUGAAGUCAAGUUCACUGAUCUCUACUUUACAGACAUUACUAUUGUCUCCUAUUUUUUUAUUUUAGGAAUCAGGAUAUGUGCCCUUCUUCAGCUCCAAGGUACCUUUCCUGUUCUAUGUGAGCUUUUACAUAUGACUGGCAAUUGCUCAACAAUAAUAUCUGCUAGCUCUUUGAUUUCCCUGGAGAUAAUCAUCUGGGCCAGACAACUUGUCUAUCCUGCCUUUUAUCUGCUGCCUACAGGGAGCCUUGGCAUGAGGAAGAGUUUGGUACAGUCUUCAGAGUUACUGACAACUGAUAGAGUUUUGCUACCCCCAUAGCUCAGCUGUUAUGCCACAGGAAUAAUGUCGCCAGAAUUCAGAAGACAGAAGCAUCACUGGUUGCUGGGGUAGUCAAGUUUCAAGGGGGUG